AUCUGGAGAGAGGCGACACGGCCAUACAUCGUAGGCCGUGACGUCCACCGAAGGGGAUAAUUCGUUGUCGGGCCUCGGCCCGAUGCGGAUCAAGCUCUCAGGUACCGUGACAGAU
rnacentral:ncRNA from 2 species